rnacentral:lncRNA from 1 species
UAUUUAUUUUUCCUCUAUUCGACAUUAUAGUGCUGUUUUUCUUUCAUUGCCCAAGGUGGAAGCUAGAUUAUGAAUUUAGAUUUGAUUUUUCAAUGUUGAAGACAACAUUGAAGAUGAUGAGCUACCCCGUGACGUGGAGAAGCCUGCGGCCCGGUAUCACCACUGGUCUGUUGAGGUCCUACAGGACCUCACCUUAGAAGACAUUGAGGAUGAUGAGAUGCCGUCUGACAUGGACAUCGGGACAGCCACAAAUGACCUCUCUCCUUCUGAGGAUUGCAGGAGCAUCACUUCUGAGGAUGAUGGUGAGGUAAGUACCCCUUUUUCUGUCCUCUAAAGAAUGGUGGG